rnacentral:rRNA from 1 species
AUUGAACGCUGGCGGCAUGCCUUACUCAUGCAAGUCGAACGGCAGCACGGGAGCAAUCCUGGUGGCGAGUGGCGAACGGGUGAGCAAUAUAUCGGAACGUGCCCAAUCGUGGGGGAUAACGUAGCGAAAGUUACGCUAAUACCGCAUACGAUCUACGGAUGAAAGCGGGGGAUCGCAAGACCUCGCGCGGUUGGAGCGGCCGAUAUCAGAUUAGGUUGUUGGUGGGGUAAAAGCCUACCAAGCCGAUGAUCUGUAGCUGGUCUGAGAGGACGACCAGCCACACUGGGACUGAGACACGGCCCAGACUCCUACGGGAGGCAGCAGUGGGGAAUUUUGGACAAUGGGCGCAAGCCUGAUCCAGCAAUGCCGCGUGCAGGACGAAGGCCUUCGGGUUGUAAACUGCUUUUGUACGGAACGAAACAGCUCUUUCUAAUACAAGGGGCUAAUGACGGUACCGUAAGAAUAAGCACCGGCUAACUACGUGCCAGCCGCCGCCGUAAUAC